CCGCAGUGUUCCUCCCAGCCAACAGAGGGCGACAGAGCAACUCGGAGACAAACGGUGAAUAAGUCUGUGUUUACAUGUAGCCGAGCUAGUUUUAGCUUCUGCUGAGCGGUCAGUGUUGGUGAAGAACUGGUCUUCAACAUGGUCAAACAGCAGCGGAGAACAGACAGGUGUUUUGUACCUGCUGCAGGGAACAGUGUGACGUGGGUUCGUUUUCCUGUUGGCCCAGUACAAAGAAGACACCUUCAGCAGGUAGACAGAAACAAUCCCCACAGCCCCAUCACCACAGAAGAAGAGAGGGAAGACCCAGGACCUGACGAAGUUUCAGGAGACACAAAGAGGGCGAGACUGGACCGAACUGAAGACGCUGCAGCUCUGACCAAUAGAGAGAAAGUCCCAGGGUCAUGUGGUCAACCAGGAAGUGAGAGCUGCCCCACAGCAGAUGGCGUUUUAUCCAGACUGUCCUCUCCAGACCAGCCGGCGUCAGCAGAGCCCAGUGAGGACAGCAGAGCAGCUGAGCUGCCGAGUGUAAGUUCACUAAAGGUCACCAUCCAGCAGAGCAGUGAGAGCAGAGAGUUUGGACAGACAGACAGGACAGCUGACAAACAGACAGGUGGACUCCACUGUCACGUCUGUGACCUUACCUGUCGCUCUGUGCAGGUGUUUCAGGAACACAUGGCAGGAUCACGAACCUGAGGAAACUGAAGGGAUGACACACUCUAUCUGCCUCACACCCACACACACGCAGAACAGGGGGUGUUGGCCUGAACCGCAACGUUGGUGUGACACUUGUCAGACUCAUUUCAGCGGUGAUAUCAUCGUCCAUCGACGGACAAAACAACACAAGAUGUGUAAGCAGAUGUGUCGUCCCUUCUGUCCGGUGUGUAAACGUCACUUCAGGACUCCCAGGAAGUUUGUGGAGCACAUGAAGUCUGCAGAGCACAAGGAGCAGGUGCACCUGGAGGAGGCUCAGGAGGAAGAGCUGAUCACAGUGGACGCUGUCGGCUGCUUCGAGGGAGAGGAGGAGGAUGAAGAAAAGGAAGUAGAAGAAGUUGAAGUAGCUGAAGAAGAAGAAGAGAGUGUAGGAAAGGAAGAAGCAGAGAAGGAAGUGUCGGAGGUACAACCAAACGUUCAGGCAGCUGACGCACAGAAAGCAGACAAGGGGGAAUAUGACCCCCACACCACAUAUGGAAGUAGUUUUGUGCUUCCUGUUUCUGGCUUCCUGUGUCAAUUGUGUAAUAAGUUCUUCUAUAGAGAGACAACAGCACGACACACACACUGCAGGACGCACACGCACUACCUCAACUUGCAGAGCCACAGAGCUAAGAAAACACAUGAAGAUCAGGACAGAUCUGCUCUCAACUGACUUACUCUCACUGUAUCCCACAAUGCAUCUCUGUAUCCCACAAUGAAUCUCUGUAUCCAGGUGAUACUGCUGUAAAGACACAGAACAGGCAUGUUCUUCCAAAAUAAUUUAAACAUUAAACAGGCACUCUGCGUACACGUGGCAUGCCUCACCUUGUCGCGUCCAGAGGGGGCGCUGUCCCCGCUAAGCGCAGAGGAUUGUGGGAUAGCAGGAGGCAGUAGCGGAGCAUCACCAUCACCACCGCUG